rnacentral:rRNA from 1 species
AGAGUUUGAUCCUGGCUCAGAUUGAACGCUGGCGGCAUGCUUUACACAUGCAAGUCGAACGGCAGCACGGGUGCUUGCACCUGGUGGCGAGUGGCGAACGGGUGAGUAAUGCACCGGAACGUACCCAGUAAUGGGGGAUAACACAUCGAAAGAUGUGCUGAUACCGCAUACGCCCUGAGGGGGAAAGCGGGGGAUCGUAAGACCUCGCGUUAUUGGAGCGGCCGAUGCCGGAUUAGCUAGUUGGUGAGGUAAGAGCUCACCAAGGCGACGAUCCGUAGCUGGUCUGAGAGGACGACCAGCCACACUGGGACUGAGACACGGCCCAGACUCCUACGGGAGGCAGCAGUGGGGAAUUUUGGACAAUGGGCGCAAGCCUGAUCCAGCCAUGCCGCGUGAGUGAAGAAGGCCUUCGGGUUGUAAAGCUCUUUCGCAAGGAAAGAAAACUUAUCUACUAA